GGGCGAUCACUACUCGUAAGGAGUUUUUGGAUCUAGUUUGGCCGAGUCGAGUCGUGUGAGAGUCUAAAUUAGUGUUUUUAUUUGAAUCAUAAGUAGAUAAAGUAGUAGUCUUCUUAAGAUUCUAGGGAGACUUAGGCCUAGAUCGCUUUUUACUUUAGCAUCUUUGUGAGAAGAAGCAUGAAUAAAAUCAAGGAUCGUGCGAGUGUUUUUAGUGUCUACCUUGGCUUGCUUGUCUUUUAUUUUGUCUCUACAACUUUGGAUCAUGAGCUUUGUCUAGAAUUGAUUUUUUUAUGCAAUACCCACGCUUUAUGAUGAUCAAGUGCUUCAGUUUUGAUUAUGCUUUAUGAGUACGGCUUGAAUUGGAGGUGAUUUAAAAUUUUAUUGCUUAUCUAAAACCUCUGCAAAAACAAGAUUAAUCAAGUUCCUUAUCCAGGUUGAGAGUUCUUAUUUAUCUUAGCCAAUGCCUAAAAAGAUUAAUUAAGCAGGUUUGAUGCUUUGAAUUGAUUUAGGAUCAUUCUCUCUUGGUUUUCUUUAAUUAUGAGCAUUGAUCAUAUCCUUUUAGCAUCUCUGAUUUCUAGCCUCGUCACUAUUCAGUAAUGAGUGUUCUUCACUAGAACAAUCAUAUUUUCUACUGAAUUCCUAAACCCGAACCAAAUAUUUCUUAAUUUUACUACCUAUUCCUUGAACCCAAC
rnacentral:lncRNA from 1 species